GUUGAGGGGAAUGUUGUCUGGUUCGAAAUCUUUCAUGGGAAUGGAUCUGAACUUGCAUGCAUUAUUGCAUCACUUCAUGGUGUGAAUUGAACGAUUUCGGACCAGGCUUCAUUCCCCUCAAC
rnacentral:pre_miRNA from 1 species